rnacentral:rRNA from 1 species
GACGAACGCUGGCGGCGUGCUUAACACAUGCAAGUCGAACGGAAAGGCCCCCACCUUGGUGGGGGUGCUCGAGUGGCGAACGGGUGAGUAACACGUGGGUGAUCUGCCCUGUACUUCGGGAUAAGCUUGGGAAACUGGGUCUAAUACCGGAUAGGACCAUGGUUUAGUGUCUCAUGGUGGAAAGAUUAUUGUUUUGGUGCAGGAUGAGCUCGCGGCCUAUCAGCUUGUUGGUGGGGUAAUGGCCUACCAAGGCGUCGACGGGUAGCCGGCCUGAGAGGGUGGACGGCCACAUUGGGACUGAGAUACGGCCCAGACUCCUACGGGAGGCAGCAGUGGGGAAUAUUGCACAAUGGGCGCAAGCCUGAUGCAGCGACGCCGCGUGGGGGAUGACGGCCUUCGGGUUGUAAACUCCUUUCGUUAGGGACGAAGCCACAUUUUUUGGGUGUGGUGACGGUACCUUUGUUAAGAAGCACCGGCUAACUACGUGCCAGCAGCCGCGGUAAUACGUAGGGUGCGAGCGUUGUCCGGAAUUACUGGGCGUAAAGAGCUCGUAGGUGGUUUGUUGCGUCGUCUGUGAAUUCCGGGGCUUAACUUCGGGGUGGCAGGCGAUACGGGCAUAACUAGAGUGCUGUAGGGGAGACUGGAAUUCCUGGUGUAGCGGUGGAAUGCGCAGAUAUCAGGAGGAACACCGAUGGCGAAGGCAGGUCUCUGGGCAGUAACUGACGCUGAGGAGCGAAAGCAUGGGGAGCGAACAGGAUUAGAUACCCUGGUAGUCCAUGCUGUAAACGGUGGGCGUUAGGUGUGGGGACCGGUUUGGUUUCUGUGCCGUAGCUAACGCAUUAAGCGCCCCGCCUGGGGAGUACGGCCGCAAGGCUAAAACUCAAAGGAAUUGACGGGGGCCCGCACAAGCGGCGGAGCAUGUGGAUUAAUUCGAUGCAACGCGAAGAACCUUACCUGGGUUUGACAUGCACCAGACGGUUGUAGAGAUACGUACCUCCCUUUGUGGUUGGUGUGCAGGUGGUGCAUGGUUGUCGUCAGCUCGUGUCGUGAGAUGUUGGGUUAAGUCCCGCAACGAGCGCAACCCUUGUCUUAUGUUGCCAGCACUUUGGGUGGGGACUCAUGAGAGACUGCCGGGGUUAACUCGGAGGAAGGUGGGGAUGACGUCAAAUCAUCAUGCCCUUUAUGCCCAGGGCUUCACACAUGCUACAAUGGUUAGUACAACGCGCUGCGAACCUGUGAGGGUGAGCGAAUCGCUGAAAGCUAAUCUCAGUUCGGAUUGGGGUCUGCAACUCGACCCCAUGAAGUCGGAGUCGCUAGUAAUCGCAGAUCAGCAAUGCUGCGGUGAAUACGUUCCCGGGCCU